ensembl:lncRNA
UGCGGACGCACCCAAUACGAUGCUAACUGCUAUGUUUACUAUGCAAACAGUUUUAACCAUUUGCUAACCUAUGCUGCUAUGGUUACUAUUCUAACUGUUAUUUUCCACACUUUAUGGACUUUUAGCUGAGUGGCUAUGCACUGCACCUGUCUAAUGGCAAUGUGCCAGGAUAGAGCAUCCAUAAUGCAGCAAGGAUAAAGGUAAUUUUCACAUGGGUGUUGACCAAAUGGCUUCUCCAGCAGCAGAUGGGACAGAAGUUGGACAUUGAAGACGAGGCAUGGGGAGCCCUGAGGAUGACCUGACUCUGAGAGCAGCUUUGUAUGGAAUGCUGUUCCACAUCCAGGCAGACAGCUCAGACUGGAAGGGAGCUCUGAAUCUGCUGAAGCAUGCUAUCCCCACACAAGAAACAGGUUGCUCCUGUUAAAGCACUGGGUGCUGGUGAGGGCCUGGCUAGGGGAGAGCGUUCUGCUAGACAUGCCGAAGUUCAGGGAUGAAGGGGAACUCAGUGCCACAUGUGGGAGCAAUGGAGUUGCACUGUGUGCUGGGGAAAUACUAAAGCAGCUGGCCAGCUACCAGAACUCCAUAAUCUCCCUACUGAAAAGACUGGUGCCCAAGAGAUGCAAACUGAAAGAACCGCAGAGGAGAGAAUUCCCAAGGAGGUUAUUUCCUUGUCCCAUCGUACUCUAGCAACUCCUUGUGGCGGGCCGGGCGCCUGCAAGCUGACUUCGAGCGCAAGUUGGACAGUGAUUUCUCCGAAACAUUGGUGUGGCUGGCUCCCGGGUUAAGUGAGCAGUGUGGCUUGGCAGGGUUGUGUUUUGGAGGAUGCAUGGCUCUCGACCUUCGCCUCUCCCGAGUCUGUAGGGGAGUUGCAGCGAUGGGACAAGACUGUAAUUGGAUAUUGUGAAAUAUUAAAAGGGGUGAAAGUACAAAAAAUAUAUAAUAAAGCGGUCAUACAAAAUAUUUUGCUGAGACUUAUAUGGAUAAUGUUAGAAAUAUUUGUUGGUCUGAAGUAAUUAAUUAGGAGCAUCUAGACACUCCACUUGAUGAAUUUAUGAAAUUGCAUCUUCCAAUUAUUGAUAAACAUGCACCUGUUAAACUGACUGUUAGAACUGUUAAGGCUCCACGAAUUGAUGAGGAAUUGAAAAACUGUAUGGUUGAAAGAGAUGGGGCAAACAGAGUGGCUAAUAAGUCUGGCUGCACAUCUUCCUGGCUGACUUACUGCAAAUUGAGAAAUGAUGUGACUAAACUCAACAAAAAGAAGAAGAAACUGUAUUAUGAAGCCAAGAUCAAUGAUAUAAAGAAUAAUGUUUAAAAAACUUUGGAGUACUUUAAAUGAAAAUGUGGGCAGAAAGACAAAUUCAACUCCUUUUAUUGAAUCAGAUGGCUUAUUCAUCACAAAACCAUUUGAAUUAGUUGAUUAUUGAUUACUUAAUUGGCAAAGUGGGCAAAUGAGGGCAAGAAAUGCCAACAAUAGGAAAGAGAAAGGAGGAUACCUAGUCAGUUGUCCAACUGAAUGUAUUCAACUGAAAUGUGUCUUCCGCAUUUAACCCUAGUGAGCCAUCGUACUAUCAUGACUUGACUUUCAUUAAUCUGAUGAUUUAUUUAUUUAAUC